GUUCUGGUUAAGAAGCAUGACUCGUUCCUUUUCACAUUCAAAUUUUGUGAGAACAAAUUGGUUCCUUUCUACUUGAUGCCUCCUCGUUGGACCUGGCUGGUUAAUUUUGAUGUUUUAUUUGGAUUUCUGUUCUUGUUAAGAAGCACAACUCGUACUUAUUCACAAUCAAAUUUCAGUGAUUUACCAAGAUAUGGGUCAAGAAGCUUUAUGCCUUAUGUGGAGAAUCUUUGUUCUGGAACGCUUUUAACAUUUUUUUCUAUAUUUUAUAUGGUAACAUUA